rnacentral:rRNA from 1 species
AGUGAACGCUGGCGGCAUGCCUAACACAUGCCAGUCGAACGGCAGCACAGUAAUAGCUUGCUCUUACGGGUGGCGAGUCGCAGGCGGGAGUGGCAUACAUCUGAAUCUACUUUUUCUUGGGGGUAAACGUAGGGAAGCUUACGCUAAUACCGCUUUCCACCUACGGGUGAAAGCAGGGGGUCUUCGGGGCUUUCGCGGUAGUAUGAGCGGAUGUCGGUUUAGCUGGUUGGCGGGGGUAAGGCCCACCAAGGCGACGAUCCGUAGCUGGUCUGAGCGGAUGAGCAGCCACAGUGGAACUGAGACACGGUGCAGAAUGCUACGGGAGGCAGCAGUGGGGAAUAUUGGACGAUGGGGGAAAGCCUGAUCAAGCCAUACCGCGUGGGUGCAGAAGGCCUUCGGGUUGUAAAGCCCUUUUGUUGGGAAAGAAAAGCAGCAGGUUAAUACCCCGCUGUUCUGACGGGAACCAAAGAAUAAGCACCGGCUAACUUCGUG